GUUUAUUCUUUUCUCGCAUUUUCCAUAGAAGUUGAUAUUCUUUCACAAUGCUUUUCAAAUGCAUCCUUAUAAGGCCGAGUUUGUGGAGUUUUUUUUUUCUUUUUAUCUUCAUCUUUUUCUCUGAUGUUUCUUUCCAUCAGUUGAUAGAUUGCCCACCUGUUCAUAUCAUGAUAUCAUCAGAAUUGAGAGGUUCAUGCAAGGAGAAAUUUAAAAUUUGAACUUGUGGAGCAAUAUG